AUUUUAGCUGCUUGAGUGUGCGGCCAACAUGUUAAUAUUUCAAGGCGAUUGGACAAUGUUUAAUUGUUGAUUAUCAUCUAAUGGGUUCAUUAUCGCUACCAAUCAUCACCUUAUGUAACACGUUUUUCUAACAUGUCGAAAAACAUAAGAAUUGAUGGUUUCCACUCUUAAAAACUCAUUAGUUUAGGCUAAUUAACCUUAAUUUUUAAAAUGGGAACACAAGUGUUGCCACAUUGAAUAAAUCUUAGAUUGUGGCAGCCAUUGAAUCAUGCAGAAGCUCCAAAUCAGCUAUUGAAUACACCAAAUAAUCAUUUACUAACCCACUAAGUCAUAACCCAAUUCAUUCACAAUAUCCCUUUACAUAUACAUAGAGAUAUAUAUACAUAUAUUAACAUAAUUCUAAUCCCCAAACAAAGCAGUUCAUAUCAACCCAAAAAUAACAAUUGAAUAAAAAAAAAUCAAAGCUUUAUUUCACAAUCAAAGAAUUAAUAUUAAACCUCA
rnacentral:lncRNA from 1 species